CACCCUGCUUACGUCCCCCCCCCCCACCUGCUUGAGGGCUGGGCUUAUACUUGCUACAUCUCUGCCUGACUGCAGGCCAGAGGCCUGGUUGUUUACUGCCCCACCCUGCGUGAGGGCCGGGCUUAUAACUUGGUACUGCUCUGUCCUGACUGCUAGCCAGAGCCCAAACUGUUUGGGGCCCUUUCCUGCUUAAAGGCUGGGGCCCCUCGCAUACUGCUAAUUCCCCCUCUCUUUGUUUUGAGCAUACUCUGGCAGAUCAGACUGCGAAGAGGCAGGGCCUCCCUGAAAGGCGGAUGCGGAGGGGCGGCCAUGACUGCUUACAGGGGACAUCUGCCAUCUAGCUUCUCUUUGAUACCUGUGGCUAUUUCCCCAAGUGGCAUCCUUUAACCUUGUCAGUGUGUGUACAUAGCUGAGAAAAAAAAAUUGUGUGGGAUGCUGUCGCCCAUUGUAUAGUCUAAUCUCAUCUUAUUAAGUUUUACAUGCUGAGGGCAUGUGCACUCUGUGUAUAAGUUCUCUCCCCCUAAGAUAACAUACCCUCUUCCUUUCAGUCUCUGCUUGGAGUGGUAACUCUCAUUCAGGGAUAGCCAGUAAGUGGCACUAGCGGGGACAGUAGUGAUGGAAUUAACAAUGGCAUCGGAAGCAGCAUUCAGCUCAGACCUGACAGUUUUGCACAGGCAGGGGCACUCACUUCAUGCUCAGGCACCCAUUCAAGCUUUUCUUAGUUCAACUGCCUUCCCCAACGUGUGUGUACUUCCGAGAAAACAGAAGCCCAACAAUCUUGAGGAGAUGGACUGCAGCCCUUCUGGAAGCAUCAUGCACCUCAACUCUUUAAGUAAUACUGGGUACAUGAUUCUGAAAGUGGAUUUUCUCUUACCUGCCCUGGGAGACCUUGAGAAUAUAAAACAGCAGCUCCUGAAUGAGGUAGAAGAAAUACUAAAGGGGAGUUUUCCCAUAGGGUCAUUCCAGCUGAAAUGGGUCAGCUAUGAACUGUGACGAGACCAGACCAAACCACCUAGCACUAACAUGGAGUUCUCUGAAGAUGGGAAAAAUGCUCCUUUUGGACAGUGGAACCAGAAUGUGUAUGGGCAGAUCAUAGAUAAAAAAGAAAGUUAACAUUUUAGGCAGGGAAACAGGGAUGUAGAAUAAAUGUAGGUAAUUGCUGAAGAAAGGUGCAAGGAAAUUAGAUAGUCUCUUUUGUGGAGGACAAGGAUGAGGGAAUUCUCAACCACUGUAUCACCAGAACAUUAUUUGUUUUGCCCCAGUGCCCAGAAUCCCCACUCAGGAUUAGGCCCCACCUUGUGUUGGGCAAUGUAGAGGUAUAUUAAGGCAGGCUCAAGCCCAGAGAGCUUCCAGUCUAGAUAAGGACAAGACACCAUUUACAAGAGAGGUAAAUGUAGAACAGAACAGAGAUGGUAGCAUCAAGGUGGUGACAAGAAAUAGGAGAACAAAGUUGCAUACAUUCACUGCAUGUAUAGUUUGAAGGCUUCAAGGCCUUUAAAACCCUGUAUAUAAAAAUUACAGUUUUAAAAAGAAACUUUUACCAAAUCUAUGCCCAAGACAAAGUUUUCCAUGACACAAAUCCAGAGUGGGAGGGAUUUUCCACUUUUUAUGUUCUCUUGUAAUUCAUAUCUAUGGAAUGAUAAAUAUAACAUUACCAAGAA